CCAAGACAAACAAUAUAUAUACACAUGUAUUGACAUUCUCUUCCUUAUUCCAAACCCUCUCAAACAAACACCACCAAACACCUAUAGACCUAACUAUAUAUCAAUCAAAACAUCAAGAAAGUAACCCUAUAUAUAUAUAUAUAUAUAUAUCUUAGCUCUCUCUCACUAAAGAAAAGAGAUAUAUAUCACAAUGAGGUCUCAUAAUAAUUCUCUUGUGGUAGCUUUGAAUGUUACAUCUAUCUUCAUCAUGUUCUUCCUUCUGUUGUCUUGCUCCAUGCAAGUUGAAGGCAUAAGGGUUCUUGAUCAGCAACAUUCUUCUUCUUCUUAUUCUUCUUCUGCAUCACUAAUGAAGAUUUUUAGUAUCCGAGCUUACUCUGGCCCAAGCCGCCGCGGACGCGGUCACUGAUAUAUAUAUAUGCAACCAUAUGAAUGACAUAUACGAUUCUUUUGGUAGAGUAAUAUACGUAUUAAUACACAUAACCUAGUGAUCAGUUGUUAUAUUAUUUUAUGCUUAUUUUGUUAAGAGAACACUUAAGUGUUCAAUCACUGUAAAUGAACCAGUUCUGAUACUUCGAUGAGAUAUAUAUAUAUACAUACCUUUCUUCAUAUUUA
rnacentral:lncRNA from 1 species